UCGCCUACAUGAAGUUGGAAUCGCUAGUAAUCGCGAAUCAGAAUGUCGCGGGGAAUACGUUCCCGGGUCUUGUACACACCGCCCGUCACACCACGAGAGUUUACAACACCCGAAGUCAGUGGCCUAACCGCAAGGAGGGAGCUGCCUAAGGUGGGGUAGAUGAUUGGGGUGAAGUCGUAACAAGGUAUC
rnacentral:rRNA from 1 species